AUGGCAUCCACGGCAAAGGUCACCAUCACCCUCGGCCGCAGCGGUCAGGUUGUCAAAAGGCGAACUAUUUCUGAUAUGGGUAAUGAUGAUGAAGUGCCAGUAUCAGGAAGAAAGCGGCCUGUCCGAGAGAGGCUAGGAAAUAAUGUGGCUGAUUCUGAUUUGUAUGGAAGGCAGCAGAGUAAUAAAAGACGGCAAACAGAAAGCAGUAGCUCGCAGCUUGGAGAUGAUGGUUUGGCUCGCCAGAUUGGCAGGGAUGAUUUAAGGCUGAAGCUUAUGCGGAAAGGCUUGACACAGAAGAGCAACAGUGAGGCAGAACAGAAUGGAGUGGAUCUCCGUGAAAAGCUUUCCAGGAAGUCAAAGAAACUCCAGGGAUAUGAAGCAAGAAGGGGUGAUCCAGAAUCCAGGUCUAGUUAUGAUGAGGGAGAAAUCCCAGAAACAGGAUCUGGAUAUGGUUCGAGGGGGAGAGUCCCAGAGUCAAGAGCCUCUACUCUUGUAAGCCAAGUGCCUUCUUCAAGGAAUGCAGAUGGGUUGUUCAAGUUGGAGCCUUCAGGAAAACCUUAUCCCUCGUGGACCGAUGAUUGUUUGAGGUAUACGUCCCCAGACAAGCUUCCAAGUGUUCGAAGAGACAUGACUCCCCCAAGAAGUGUUCGAAGAGGCAUCUCUCCCCCGAGGGCCAUUCGGAGAGGCAUGUCUCCUCCGAUAAAUGCUCGAAGAGGCAUGUCUCCCCCGAGAGGUGCUCGAAGAGGCAUGUCUCCUCCAAGAAGUGCUCGAAGAGGCAUGUCUCCUCCAAGAAGUGUUCAAAGAGGCAUGUCUCCUCCAAGAAGUGUUCGAAGAGUCAUGUCUCCCCCAAGAACAUAUGAUCAUACAGGGUCCAUUCCAUCCCUUCGAUCUGUCGGUACCACAAGACCUUCUAGUCAUAUCACAAGAGAUGCUGCUGACACAUUAAGAACCCAUCAACCUUACGAAGACAGCUCUACCAUUGGGAUUGAUAGGGGACAACAAACUAAUGGAAUCACACAAUCUGGACGCCGGCCUACAUCCCCUAUGCUGAAAGAAGUACCGUCGACAGUUACUGGAUUACUGAAUUCAAUGGGACUUGAGAAGUAUGUUGUUCUCUUUCAGGCUGAGGAGGUGGAUAUGGCUGCAUUGAGUCAGAUGAAAGACAGCGACCUCAAAGAUAUGGGAGUACCAAUGGGCCCCAGGAAGAAGAUACUCCUUGCGACGGCACCUUAUGGAAAACAACGGCAAAGAUGA
rnacentral:rRNA from 1 species